rnacentral:tRNA from 1 species
AUUUUAAUAGCUUAUUUAGAGCAUGAUAUUGAAGAUAUCAGGGAGACUUAGGUCUUAAAAUA